UUCCCAAUCAAACCGUUCUCCGCUUGACGGGUUCAUUCCGCUUCGAAUUCCGCUUCGAAAAUUGCUUCGAAAUUUUCUAAACGGAAUCUCCGGUUGGACUCCGUUUAGAUUCCGUUUGAGCCAUUUUAGUACAUUAGCGACACCUGCUGGUGUACGGCAGAACCUCGAUGACAUUUCGCCGCGUUUCGCCGAAGCGGUUUUCUUGUUGAUUUUUUUCAAUCAAACGUCAAAGUGUUUGGAAAAAAUCAAAAAGCGAAACUUGUUCGAUCCUGUUCAUUCGCGCCACGUUUUUUCGGGGAAAAAAACUUACUGUGGAAAUAACUGGUGAGUUACGCUACAUUUCUAAGGAUUCGGACCAUUGACCCAAUAACCGAUGCCUCCUCUUUCAGAUUCCUGGCCGUCCUACACGGGCUCGACGGAACCGGCUUCUUUUAAGUCUCUUCCAGCCGUAUCUUCUCCAUCCGCUCGCUCCACUCUGAAUCUUGUUCCGGCUGAGCUGGACCUUUUGCUAAUGCUGAGACAGGCCACCAGAGCCGAAAUCUGUGCAACCUUCGUCGGGGUUCUCAUUCUGCGGACCACAUUCCCGGAGCUGUUGGCGGCACCGAACUCUGCCUUGGUCGACGCCGUUGGCUGGGACGCUUUGGCCGUGAUGGCCGAUUCAGCCUUGGCCGGACUGGCCUAGAGGCGCAGAAGCACGCGUGCAUGAAUUUGUUCACAGCACACUACAGGUGGACAAUCACGGGGAGUUCCUCGAUUUGAACGUCGGCCGAUCUCGAUGCGCCCGCUGGCAGGUUGUGGCCACUGGAACCAGCCAGCUGCGGAAUGUGUGUGGGCCUAAGGCCUGACCUGGCCUGCUGUCUUUGAAAAGUUGCUGUUUGUCCUUCUGUUUUGCCCAACAAAACGCCGGUCGCGGCGUAAUUGCUCGUGCCGCCUCCGGAGAGUGACGCCGUCGUGUCUAAGAACCCGAUGGACGGCAAGCUGGCGGUGCUCUUACCAAACGCGCCUGACAGUGUCGGCGCCAGCAGUGACGCGGCUUACCCGUUCAAAAGCAUGGCCCAGGCGCGCAUAGUUCAGUGGCGGGAGAACACUCGAUGAUGUCACAAUCCCUUUGUCGUGCCUAACCCUCCGAUUGCGUUGGACCGCCAGCACCACCUCCUCCUCCGCCGGCUUACGGGUGAAGAGUGGACCACCUUCGCAGUCGUAACAUCUUCCAGCACGGAUCGCCGGCAUUCGAAUGCCUGCCAAGCUCCCUAACCUCGGUGCGACGACGACGAGCCUCUCCUGGACCAAGCGGCCACGCUCCAGUCGACGAAAUCAUCCGAUACGAUCGACGGCGGCCAAGACGAAGACUAUGGAAUCCCGCGUGUAU